GAUGAACGCUGACAGAAUGCUUAACACAUGCAAGUCAACUUGAACUUCGGUUUGGGUGGCGGACGGGUGAGUAACGCGUAAAGAACUUGCCUCACAGCUAGGGACAACAUUUGGAAACGAAUGCUAAUACCUGAUAUUAUGAUUUUAGGGCAUCCUAGAAUUAUGAAAGCUAUAUGCGCUGUGAGAGAGCUUUGCGUCCCAUUAGCUAGUUGGAGAGGUAACGGCUCACCAAGGCGAUGAUGGGUAGCCGGCCUGAGAGGGUGAACGGCCACAAGGGGACUGAGACACGGCCCUUACGCCUACGGGAGGCAGCAGCGGGGAAUAUUGGACAAUGGACCAAGAGUCUGAUCCAGCAAUUCUGUGUGCACGAUGAAGUUUUUCGGAAUGUAAAGUGCUUUCAGUUGGGAAGAAAAAAAUGACGGUACCAACAGAAGAAGUGACGGCUAAAUACGUG
rnacentral:rRNA from 1 species